CUUCAAUCUCCCAUCGCUAUGAAGGCUAUCCUUGUAUGCUCUCUCUUGAUUUCAGUCCUUCUCUCUCCCUCUUGCGUACUUAGUGCUCGAGAGUUGGUUCAAAAUGAAAUGAUGAGUACUGAUCAUAAGGUGGGCAUUAGAGCAGGCUCUAACUGUGGAUCUGGAAAAGCUUACAGAAACUGUUGGGACGUCAUUUGUAUUUUUUGGCCCUGGUGCCUAGGCUGAAGAGCCAAUGCGGCGCCCAGGGUGGCCUCCCCAGGAUUCGAACCUGUGACCUUAAGGUCCUUGCUGUUGCCCUCCUGGUACCAAGAUGAGUGGAGUGAGAAAGUUGGGCGCAUGAGAUGGCAGUGAACCCAUGUGAAUGAGAAAAGUUGGUUUCGGAUCAAAAGAUAUGCAGGAGAGGUACCAUAUGUUUUGUGAUAAUUGAGAUAGUGGGGUAGCGGGGACUCAUCCUUGCUUCCCCUUUUUGUGGGACACUUUGCCCUUCACACUUCACACAUAUGAAUGCCGUUAUAAAUAAGGGUAGUGGGGGAGAGUUUAUCACACCCUACUCCAAUCUCCCAUCACCAUGAGGGCUUUCCUUGUAUGCUCGCUCUCUCUUCAUUUCAGUCCUUCUCUUGGCUUCUUGUGUUAGUGCUCGAGAGUUGGUUCAAAAUGAAAUGAUGAGUACUGAUCAUAAGGUGGGCAUUACAGCCCGCGAGAGCUGUGGAAUUUAUCGUCGAAAUUGCGGACCCAAGCCAAAGAAGUGUUCUGGGAAGAAUAAAGAAUGUGCGCCACCAGGCCCUUGAAAAUGAGAAGAUAAUGCUUAGUAUCAAGGAGCUGGCCGCUAUGGACCAACAACAAACAUAUAUAGAUAGAUGGAUAGAUGGUAUGAAGAGGAGUCGCCAGGGGUUGAAGAAUAAUAUUACUUGGCGCAUGUACUGAGAUGUAUGGGUUGAUUUGGAGUUUGUGGUUUCGAGUGUUGGACUAUAUGCAUUAGGAGUUUGCUUAGUUAAUAAUAGAGCUGAUUUAGGUCGGUCUCCAUGGGUGCGUAUGUUGUGUUUCUUCUUUUGUUCUUUUCUCUUUGUUUUAUUUUGAUUCUUCUACUCCAUCAUUCUAGCAUCAUUUUCAACAUUUCAUAUUUACCAUAGAUCUUGAUUUUCA